rnacentral:rRNA from 1 species
GAUCAACGCUGGCGGCGUGCCUGAGACAUGCAAGUCGAACGAAGGAUCGGGCUUGCUCGAUCCUUAGUGGCGGACGGCUGCGUAACGCGUAGGUGACCUACCCCGAAGUGGGGAAUAACUGCCCGAAAGGGUGGCUAAUACCGCAUGUGGUCGCACGUUCAUUCGUGCGAGUAAAGCCGCAAGGCGCUUCGGGAGGGGCCUGCGUCCGAUUAGCCCGUUGGUGGGGUAAUGGCUUACCAAGGCGACGAUCGGUAGGUGGUCUGAGAGGACGAUCACCCAGACUGGGACUGAGACACGGCCCAGACUCCUACGGGAGGCAGCAGUCGGGAAUGUUGCUCAAUGGGGGAAACCCUGAAGCAGCAACGCCGCGUGAGGGAUGAAGGCCUUCGGGUUGUAAACCUCUUUUGUCAGGGACGAUGAUGACGGUACCUGGCGAAUAAGCCACGGCUAACUACGUG